CCAUUGUAUACCUUUGCCCCUAUUCUGUGAAGCUACAAUGCCAUAUAGGAGACCAUGUUAUUUCAGUUUCUAUAGUUGGAAUUUUCAUAGAUGGUAAUAUGUCUGAUUUUGUGGCAUUAUAGGCAUUUGACUGUUCAAAUAACCCCACAAAGGCCUUCCAUUUGAGAAAGUAGACACUCCAGGGUAUCUUAUUAGGCAUGUAUUAUACCUUAACUUGCCACCAUUUUAUCACCAAUUUAUUUCAAAUUUUGUGGUGAGAAAAAUAAAUA